rnacentral:lncRNA from 1 species
GGUAUAGGAUCGAUUGCAAAUGCUUUAAUGUUUGACCAUUCUAAAAUUUUCCAAAUGUCGAGCGCAUUUAGAGGGAAAAAGGACUAGAAUCGGUUUUGACUAAAAUAAUUAAACAACUAUCAAAGGACAAUCCAAAGUUCGACGAGGAUUGGUCGCUUGUGAGUAGUUGGAAGUAUAGUAUUGGAAAAUAUGGAAAUGUUUCCAUAUUGGAUGGACCAUAUCGACAUCAUUACGAAUAGAUAAGAUUCUAUUAAGAAUGAGUUGUCAUAUGGAACAUAUGGAAGUGUGUCCAUAUUGGGAAUUGAAUAUUGAGAAAUCUAUGACUAGAUUAGAAACUUCUAUGCAAAAGGAUGUUCAAAGAAAGUACUUUGAGUGAGAGACAUCACAUCUAUGGAAUUGUCUUGUAACAAUCUCCGAUAGAAGACUUUGUAAUAUCAUUGGCAAUAGUCUUUGUGACUUUGGUGCAGUGACAUUACAAAAGAGAUCAUUGCAUAAAAUGUUAGAAUCUAGCAUAUUCUAUAAGUAGCAAGAAUUUGAUAUUCUUUCACUUAUGAAAAAGGAUUUGGAGUUGUGAAAUGAGAAUGAUUGGAAAUGUGUUCAAUUUGAUCUAUUUCACAAAGUAAGAACCAUAGGUAAACAUUGUGUGCAUGCUAAGAGCAUGGGACAAGUGUAAUAAUUCAAGUAAGAAGUUGAUUACCCGAAACGACAAAUAAUGAGUAAUCGAUAUGGUGAUAAAUAAAAGGUGUUUUAUUUAUACUCAAAGGUUUGAGGCCAUAUGGGAUUAGUAUUAUUCUUGUGUUUCACAUUUGCAUGUUUUGACUUCCAGAAUAAUUGAAUUUAUUAAGAAUAAUCGAAUUAUUCGAACGGGCCACAGUCGUUCAUAUGUUGGAAGUAGAUAUGAAUGAAGACUGUCGUGAAUUGGUGUGUGGAUUGUCUAAAGAGUAUUAGACAUAAGCAAAUGUUUGCUGCAACGUUCAUGAGUGCUUAUGAAUAUGAUUUGAGCAUUGGAUUAAACCCACGCUCACUUGGAUCACUCCAUGAAUUGUAUCACGAGUGAUUGGUGAGACGAUAACAUCUUAUAUUCUUGAAACCGAGAUGUGUGAGUUGUAUCUUGCAAAUCGGUUGCACAUUGAUAAUAUGUAAACGCACUAGUAACUUGGUGUUAUAAAACAUAUUGUUGUGUGUUAUUCGGUGAGUAAGUGCAAGCAAGCAUUGUAUCAAAUUUUAUCUUUUCCUUUUAUCCAAGGUAGGAUAAAAGCAAUAUCUUUGGGCCCUUCGAUGAUUUAGUGAUGACAAACGUAAAUGCUCGGCCAGGCUAGGGCUAAUUUGAUUUGUUCAGUUAGUCUGUCGUCAUAAAUCGGAAAUCGAGAUAUAGUACAAAGAGAAUGAUUUAAAAUCAUCUCUCAUAUGAUAUCUAGAAUGGAGGAAUAUAUGAUCCCUUAUCUAAGGACACGCGUAUCUGAUAGGAUCAGAGUUGACAGCGGCUUUGGAAAGCUACGAUUGCAGAUCAGGAUCUGAAGUCAUACGCAGAAUAGUUAUUAGACUUAUCCAAGUGGGAGACUGUUGGAUUAGUGUCUAAGUCCAUAACUAUUUUGGUAUGUACUUGACCCGAUGGUGCAUGGUCCUUUUGGGUUGCCUUCACCAAAGCAACUUGAUAGGAUGAAUUAUGGAGAGAAAGGAUUAAAUAUGAUUUAUUAAUAUAUUAUGAGAAUAAUAUAUUAAAGGAGAAAUCAUAUUGUUUAAUUAAUAUUAGUCAAUAAUUAAUUGGUAAUUAGUUUUGUGACUAAAAGAGAUUAAUUAAACUUAAGGGACUGGAAUUGUAAUUAUAAGAUAAUUGCAAUUUGGGCCAUGGAUUGUCUUAAAUCAAGAGGUGGACGAAUUCUUAUGGGAAGCCCAUAAGGAAAUCGUCCAAGGGCUUGAUUAAAGGAGUCUAUGGGUUGCUUAGGGCUUAAGCAACCAAAUUAGGGUUUCCUUGUUAGAUAACCCUAAUAGCCUCACUAUAUAUAGAACCCUUAAGGCUCAAAAACGUGGGGAACUUCUUUUCUAGGGUUAGAACACGUUUUGGGCAGCCUCCAUCCUCUCUCCUCUUCAUCCUCUUGCUUAUGGUGUUUGUAAGCCAUUAGAGGAGUGACACUUGUGACUCUAAGCCUUCCAAAGUCAAUUCAAGGAGGAAUUGGGAUUGUUAUUGCUACAUAACAAUCAAGGUAAUAUCUUAAACCUAAUUAUAUGUUAAUAUUGAUUUCCAUAUGCUAGAAUUAGGGUUUAUAGUCUUGGAUUCAAAGCAUGUACAAUAGAGAAACCUAGAUCCAAGCAUUAGGGUUUGUAUGAGCACAUAGGAUGUCUUAUGACCAAAACCCAUCAGUGGUAUCAGAGCCUAGCUUGGUUUCAAUUGUAUUGAUGCUUGAUAUAACUGGAAAAUUCGAUUUUUUGGAUUCUGGAGGCUGGACUCGCCGAGUCCAUGGCUGAACUCGCCGAGUCCAAGGUGACUCGACGAGUCCAAGCCUGACUCGACGAGUCAACUCGUCAGAUGGAGGGUACUUCGGGAUUUCUUGCUGUUUUUGCUUAUGGAUAGUUACCUUAUCAUGUUAGAUCAAUAUUAAUCCGAUUAUAUGAUAUAUUUGACUAUAUUUUUGAUCUAAUUGAAGAUAUUUAUCAAUUAAUAAGAUAAUUGUUUCCUUAUAAGAUAAUUGAUUAAUUAUUUUGAGUAAAUUGAUAAAUUGUUUUGCAAGAAAUCAUUAAAUAAAUCAAAUAUGGAUAAUUAUGUGAUUAAAUGUUAAUUUGAAUUAUUUGUUAUUUGAUCCUUGUUGUUAUGAAAAGUUUCAUAUUUUGCCCUUUAGGUUUUAUAGUUUAAAUUUGAACCCAAAAGUUUUGUUGUUUUGAAAUUUAAAUAGUUGAAACCCUAAUGUUUUGAAAAAGGUUUCAAAACUUGCCCUCAAGUUUUGGAAUUUAAAUUUUGAUUAAAUAGUUUAAUUUUGAUGUAUAUUUAAAUUCUAAACCCUAAUGUGUUGAAAUGUUUCAAAACUUGCCCUCAAGUUUUGGAAUUUAAAAGUUGAUUAAAAGUUUAAUUAGGAAUGUUAAAUUCUAAAACUCUAGUAUAGUUUUGAAAAAGUUCAAAUCACACCCUUAUGGUUUUAUUAAUUAAUUAAGGUGUAUAAUUAAAAGAGGUUUAAUAAAUCCAUAAAAGUUUAGGUUUACAAUUUAAUUGAAUUAAAAGUAUAAUUGUUAAAUUUGACCACCUAGUAUUUUAAAAGUGUAAAAUACACCCUAUACUAUAUAUAACAUUAAAAGUCUAACAUUAUAUAUAUGUAUGAGUAAAAGUCAGUCUUACCGUUAGUAGGCCUCAUUCACGAAGCUGGUCUAUAAGGGGUGUUUAAGGAAAUUGCCUAUAAAAUGGCGAUUGAAUGGGUAUCCACUCUUACCCACCGCACUCUUGACUAGUGGAGGGUCGUUAGCCGAACGGGUAGGAUAGGACGAAACCUUCCAUUAUAAGUAUAAUGAAUUAUAAAAGUAACUAAAUGUUUUCAUAAAAUUCCCAAUCUUAGUUACUUAGGCAAAAGUGAAUUGAUGCAAUUCCAUGAAAUUACACUUUGUGCCCUUGCGAAGACGUUAGUGGAGCGUGUGUGGUUUACCGGCACACUAAAUGGUUCUAAGAAAAGGUAGCAAAGGGUGACUCAAUGUUUGUCAUAGUUCGGUGGAGCGUGUGUGGUUUACCGGCACAUCGAAUAGGUGACUGUAACAUGUGAGGGCACCAUGUAAGUUUGCAUGGUUAUUCACACCCGCUUUGUGAUCCUCGGCAUCCCAGUCACAAACUAGAGGGGCAUAUCGAGAUUUAAACAUGCCAUUGAAAUGUUCAAUGAAUCUCAAAGGAUCUAGGAGUUUUCAUAGAUUUAAAACUUAAAUUUCUUUUUCGUUUUUCAUGGUGGAAAUUAGUGAAUCGUCAUUCACUUACCUUCAAAUAUUCUGCAACUAGAUUACAACAUCCCUUUUCUAGGUUGUAGCGUAUUGUGUUGGGUCCUAGCCUUAAUAUCUCAUUUGGGUGAUUUAUUAAGGACUCAAUCUAUCAACUAACCUGAAUUUAUUUUUUCUCCUGUUUUGUAGAUGUCAAAGUACGACAACUAUGGUCUUCCCAAAUCCCGUGGAACAAGCAUUCCACAUGAAGAUGAUAUUCCACGAUUCGAUCGAGGAACAAGAAAUCAUGCUUCACUUCCUCCACCUCCUCCAAUUAUUCUCCCUAACCCACAAGAUCGAAGAAUUAAAAGGUUCAAUGUCACUAAAGCCCUAUUGGAAAUGAAACAUGAAGAUGGUAAACCCAUGUGUGCCCACGUUCUAGGAAUGAAAUCACACAUCGAUAGGUUGAUAAUGUUGGGUGCGUCAUUCCCUGAUAAGUUGGCUGUGAACUGGGUUCUACAAUCACUUCCUGAAUCAUAUAAUGAGUUCAAAGGUAAGUAUUAUAUGAUGGAUCAUGACGAGAACCUCAUUGACCUAACUUACCUGCUCAUUGCUGCUGAAUCAGAAAUGAUUUGGCAAAGAAAUGGAGCAUAUUUGUUAGGAAAGUCAACCAACCAUGCUUCCGAGGACGUUCUAGGAGAAUCGACNUCAUGUAUGUAGUAUGUUCUGUUUUGAAAACCCUGGCUACCACCAAUAUGUAUGUAGUAUGUUCUAUUUUGAAAACCCUGGCCACCAUCAGUAUGUAUGUAGGGGGUGUUUGGGGUAUCUUUUCAGAGGGCAAAAGAUCUUUUGGCAAAAGUUCCAAAAAGCUAGGUUUCCCUGACUUUUCCAAAAAGUCAGUUUUCCUUCUUUAAAAAAUCUAAAAGUAGCUUUUAAGGAGCUUUCCCCAAACAUCUUUUGUUUGAUAUCUUUUCCCAAAAGUUCUUUUACCCUCUCAAAAGAUAUCCCAAACACCCCGUAGUAUGAUAUGUUUUGUCUUGGAAAAUCCCUUAUUUUCCCUGGUAUACGAGUGUUUUUUACUUUAAUGAUUCCAUGAAUUAUGAGGUAUAAGUAUCAUACUUACGUUAUUAAACAACUGUUUAUAAGAGGUAUAUUAUUACGUAAAAGAGAGUCGUACGAUUGGCGAGUUUUCUGACCAUGCAUUAACUUGAUACGACAGGAACGAACGUCGGUAUCCUUUAUGACAUUUGUCACCCGUAGACCUGACGGUCCGACUGUAGCUAGCAGCCAGGUGCGGGGCAGUCAGUCCCGUAUAGAUCUAUACACAAAAGCCACACUUUCCCUCCAGGAAAUUUUGGUUCGUAAGGGUAGUCCUCCACUUAGCUGAUGUUUGAAAGUGUCCGAGGACAAAGUCCUCCACUUUACUAUGUUGUAUGUUGCCAAGGACGAAGUCCUUCCCUUUGUUAUUAAAGUGUAUGAGUACGUGUCUCCAGUUAAGUUUACGAAAUUAUGAGUAAUAAUAUAAGUGUUCUGUCUAUUCGUAUGAAAAUCCGAUGUAUAUUUAGUAGAAUAAAAAUAAUUAUACUAAAACAAUUAUUUACUGUUGUAUUCUUGUGGUAACGUAGGAUAUAAACUAAAUUUGUCAUAGUUUUUGUAUGCAACCAUGUAUGUGGUUUGUAACCGUAAAACUGGAAAUGAAAUCCCCAAACUAUACCUAUUAUAGUUUGGCUGUAAUGUUAUGUUCAUGAAAUGUUCAGAAACUAUGCAAUUGAAUGUAGAAAACAUCCCUCUUGCUCAGCAUGGUACAAAAGGGAUUAAGCAUUUGAAUACUUUAUGAAAUCCAUUGGUUUGAGUAAUUGCAUAAGUUUGACUUGUUGAAAACUUUUGUGUUUAGCUUGUAUUUCCCCCUGAAAAAUGUUUAAAAUCGUAAAAGCAUAGGGGUGUGAACUCACUGUUUAACAUAGGAUUCGGGUGUACGAUCGGUUACGAGUGUUGACUGUCAAUUGAUGUUUUGUAUGCAAGGGGAUCCUAUUAACAUAUAAUAACACAUAUAUGUAUUAUAUUAAGGUAUUCCAUUACAAAACAUGACGGGAAACCACCCUAAAGACAUGGAAAUGCUUGAACUAAGUGUCGGAACCAUAAAUGAUUGGACGAGGGAGGUGUAUGGCCACAAAAACAGGGGUUUUGGUGUGUGUGUGCGGUUGCACACAAGACUGUGCGGCCAUACAGUGGGUGUGUGUGGCCGUACACAGGAGUGUGCGGUCGUACACUCCUCAUUUAUGCUCCAAAAGUCAAUGUUUAGGUGUUUUAAGGAUCAAACCAAGUCUAACUAGAUGACAGGGGGCCAAACUCUCACUUUGGACGGUCUUAAAGGUGUGUACGACCACCUUAUGAUGGUGUGCGGCCGUACACCUUCAAGGAAUGAAUAACACGAUGAAUUUAGGCUUAGAUCAAGAUAUCUUACAUGAAUAUCAAGUUAGAUGAUCGAAUACUCAUGUUUUUGAAGCCUUUGGAGUGUUCUUAGAUGAAGGUUCUAAAGAGAGAAAGUAGAGUGUAGCAAAAGGGGAAAAGAGUGAAUGAAGGGGUCACCCUCUAUAUAUAGGGGUGAGUGUGCGGCUGAAGGGUGGGUGUGCGGCCGCAUACCCGUGUAUACGGCCGUACACACCUCCCAAGAGGGUGUAUGGCCGAAUUUUGUCCCUAUACAACUUGUUGACUCAUUCCUAAUCUCAUUCCCGGCUGUACCCAAACUUAGAACACUUAAACGAACCUUUAAACGAUGUUAAAAGGUAAUGGAAUCGAUUUUAAUAUUCAUAGGAUUGAUCAACCUUUACAGAAUAAAAGUUUCGGGUUGUCUCACAUUACUAGUUGAGUAAAACUCAUAAGCUAACUACAACUCGAAGAUCAUACAUAUAAAAAAACUAAGAUACAUAGUAAACGUACAACAACAAUAAUUAACUUAAAGGAAUUGCAAUGUGUACUUCUAUUUCUCCAUUGUUAUAUAAUCAUCCCUAAUUCUUACUUUUUCUUCAAGACGACCUUUUUCUAACCAAGAUCUAUCAUCUUUUCAUCAGUGUCAGCAAGCCAUUUUUUUCAUUUUGAUAGUCUUCUUAGUCUUUUUUUAUUGAUUCUUCAUGCUCUUUGAUUUUCUUUUUAUUAACUGGUAUCCGUUCUUUAGCCUCUUUGCACUCUGUCACAAUGACGUGACGACAUUUAGUGAGAGCCCAUGAUGAUUCUUUACCUUUUUUUAUUCUUCAUCCAAUUCUAAUUGUUUCAAAGUUUCAUCGGACAUAUAUGGCCCGUUCGAAGAGGGUGUAACAAAAGGGUUGAUCGGACCACUAUAGGAACAUUUAACUUCCUCGUACGAGCAAAUUUGGAAAUUUAAAGAUGAACUUAUAUUACAAUUCAGAAAAGAUCUAACUCUAUAGUAGGAAUGCAAUGAUUAUCUAUGUAAAUUUAUAAACCCUUCAACUCCACAGAGCAGUUUGUCAUUUCGCUAAGCUGUUUGUCAGUUCAAAGAGUUGUUUGUCAGUUCCACAGUCGUUUAUCUUAUUUAAUUAAUCAUUUAUUCUUCAAAAAAAAACUCACACCUAUAUUCUAAAAUGGCAUGUAAUGUACCAACUAUUUCUAAUGCAGCGCCAUCGUCUGAUGCUCCACGUCCAUGGACGACAAUAAAGUAGUUGAUGGUCCUAACAUGAUGUUAGACGAAUGUUUAUGAGGGUGUAACACCAAUAGCUCCCUCACAUUUCCUUGUAGGUGAUGAAUGGAUCCGCAUAACAUGUUUUUUCAACCAUGAGAUAGGAGAACGACAACACCAACUUAAAGAAGAUAUUGUUAGUAAGUGGAUGGAAUUAAAGGAAAAAAUCACAAAAAUAGGAAAUAUUAUUACGCAGAUGAUGAAGAACUUUUACAAUUUGUUAAAGAUCAUUACAUGAAUGAGCGUGAUAGAAGUGAGUUCAAAUAUGAGGAUGUUUUGGAUGUGGUUAGAAAUAACCAGAAUUUCAUGUAGACGGUUGUUUAAUGUGUAAUAUUUUUUUUAAUGUUUGCUACUGCUUUAUCUUAUUAUUUGUAAUGUUUUAUUUUUUCAUAUAUUUGUAAUGUUUGUGUUUUCCGUUUCCAUGUAUUUGUAAUGUUUGUGUUUUUUGUUUCCAUGUAUUUGUAAUGUUUUUAGUUUUUGUUCCAUGGAAUAAAAUAGAAAACAACUCAAGUUAUUUCGUAAAUGACGUAAUAAAAACCAAAUACAAAGCAGUACAUAUAAAUAAGUUGAUAAUAACCAAAUACAUCUAAAUAACCUAAUAAAACCCAAGUACAUACAAAUAACCUACUACAAACCUAAUAUGAAUUAAAAAUGUGGGAUAUCUUUUAUAAGAUUCUAAGGGGAUUCAUACUCGAAAUCCGACCCGUCGCUAAUGGAUUUGUAUUCCUCUUUCGCCACCUCCAAGAUCACUUCCUCAUUUUCAUUCAGCCAUGUCUCAUCAAUUUUGUUAUAAAUAUCAUUGAAUAACAAGAUUUUUGUUUUUACUUCAUACCAUUUUGAUAUGAUAUCAAUGGUGUUACAAUAGUUUUAUGCUGUGGUUUGAGGGUCCGCGUUGAAGGUAUAUAUUAAAUGGGUGGAUCUUUCAUAGUGAAGUUCUCGUAGACAUUAAUAUUUGCAUGACUUAGACGUAGGUUCUCCUCAGCGCUCCAUGCUCUGGAACCCAUUAUGACUGAAAAUAUGUGUUGGGUUUUAAAUGUAUUGUGUCAAAUAUAUGUGCUAGUAUAGUCUCUUUUACCAGUUUGGGCCUGUCCAUUCACGAUUUUUCUUUGCUAGGGUUAGACUAUUUAUAGUGUAUGCAUGUAUCAAUUAGGGUUAACGUUUUGGUCGCCCUACCUACCUCUCAUAGAGAUGUUCUUUCUUGAACUCUUCUAGAGCUAUUAUAAUCAAAGCAUUCGACACCUUUUUGAUCUUUAUUCUUGUCAUUCAAUUCUUGUUAUUUAUUAUAGAAUCUAUCGAUCUAUUUAUUGUUUUCACAAUUGGUAUCAGAGCAGGAGAUAGUGUAACUCAUAUGCUACUCUUCUGUUGAGUUCUAUUAGGGUUUGGUGUUAUACAUGGAUUUGUAAUUAUCUUCCCGGUCAUUUCUAUUGAUUGUAGAGUUCAGAUCUAGAUCUUUAGUUUUUACCCUAAACUCGAGUAUCAUUUUACACAUUUGAUUCUAUAUCCGUUUCCGUGAAUUCUAGACAUAAUACAGAACGAAGAUCUUAUACUCUUUGGUUCAAUCUCUCUAGCAAUAUUGGAUCCACAAUAAGGAUUCCAAUCCAAUUCCCGAAAUAUUAUGAAGUAUGGUUGUUGCACUUUGAAAUUAUGUUCUCAGUAUUGAAGAACAUGGUUCCACAAUUUUGCAAGCGAUGACGCAGGAGAUGUUCACGCACAUGGCGACCAAGAGAGUAAUUGCAACUCAGGCUGAUUACAAUGUGCUUCUUGUUGAACAUACUAAUGUUCCUUAGGAUGAGAAAGAUAAUCUAAUGUGAAACAUAAAGGGGAUGAGAAUUAUAAGGUUUGCUCUUCCUCCAGACACUUUUCGUCUUGUGAGUGCUUGUAAAUCUGUGAAAGAAAUAUAGGACAGAUUGAAGGAGCUUUAUUCAAGUGACAUUGAAUUGGAACAUUUUGUGCAAACUCUUCUUGUAGUGGUGUUAAUCAUGAUGUAUUAUGUGGAAUUGAUGUGAUCUAGUCAAUCAUUAUAGGAAUCAUGAACACAAGGAGUAAAUAAAUUUGGUUUAAGCUCUCAUUAGAUCUAUAAAGAAAAUACAAAGUGGGUCUUGUACAAUUAUCUCUCUAGUUUAACUCUCCAAAUGAACAUUACAUAAACGAGUGUCACUCACUUCCUAUUUAUAGGAAAGACAACUCGUUACACAAUACAAGAGGGUAAGCACAAAUUACAUCGAAGUGUAACUUUGCACCCUAACAUUCUCCCCCAUAAAGUUAGAAUUAGAUAUUUCGGCUUUAAUAUCAAACGAGCUCACGCGAUCAAGACCAACUCCACCAUGAAUUAAUACCAGUCUUCAAAUCCGCAAAUGAAUACCGGAGAAGCUUCGAAUACACACUCUUCAUUCUCCAAAUUUUUAUAAUAAAAAAGUCAUUAUAAAACCAAUUAAGGCUGAGAAGCACCCGAGGAAUAAUCUUCACAAAACUCCCCUUUGAUGUGUGCCAAAAAUGAAACCACAAAAAACUUGCACGGAAAAAUAAUCACGAAAAAGUCAUGAAAUUUUUCCAAAUUUAUGGAAAUUUUUUACUUUUGGGUGAGAGUUGCAAGAAUUUUGAAAAUCCGGGGUAAAAACUGCCACUUUCAGAAUUCUACAAGGUCUAAACUUGAAACUUCUUCACAUUCCUACAAAAUCUCGAAUUUAUACCCUAAUGUCAAAUAUGGGUAUAAACUCCCAAUCUCAACAAAAGUGUAAGCACUCGAAUUUGAAAUAUUUUACUUGUUGGAUUAGUGUCUAAGUCCAUAACUAUUUUGGUAUGUACUUGACCCGAUGGUGCAUGGUCCUUUUGGGUUGCCUUCACCAAAGCAACCUGAUAGGAUGAAUAAUGGAGAGAAAGGAUUAAAUAUGAUUUAUUAAUAUAUUAUAAGAACAAUAUAUUAAAGGAGAUAUCAUAUUGUAUAAUUAAUAUUAGUCAAGAAUUAAUAAGAAUUAAGUUUGUGGCUAAAAGAGAUUAAUUAAACUUAAGGGACUUGAACUGUCAAUUGUAUGAUAGUUGAAUAUUGAGCUAAUGGACUCCAUAAUUAAAGGGGUGGACGAAUUCUAUGGGGAAACCCAUUAGAAAUCGUCCAAGGCCUUUAAGGAAGGAGCCUAUGGGUUGCUUAAGGCUUAAGCAUCCAAAUUAGGGUUUCCUUGUUAGUUAACCCUAAUAGCCUCACUAUUUAAAGAACCCUUAUGCCCCAAAAACGUGGUGAACUUGUUGAUUAGGGUUUCCACACGUUUUGGGCAGCCUCCUUCUCUUCUCUUCUUCAUCCUCUUGCUCUUGGUGUUUGUGAACCAUUAGAGGAGUGACAUUUGUGACUCUAAGCUUUCUAAAGUCAUUACAAGGUGGAAUUGUGAUUGUUAUUGCUACAUAACAAUCAAGGUAAUAUCUUAAACCCAUUCUUAUGUUAAUAUGAUUACUUGUAUGCUAGAACUAGGGUUUAUAGUCUUGGAUGAAUUGCAUGUUCAAUAGAGAAACCUAGAUCCAAGCAUUAGGGUUUGUAUGAGCUCAUAGGAUGUUCUUAUGGCUAAAACCCAUCAGUGGUAUCAGAGCCUUCAUUGGUUUCUAUUGUAUUGAUGCCUUGUAUGUUUGUUCAAGUUGCAAAAUUCGAUUUUGGUGAGUCUGCCUGAUGAACUCGACGAGUCCCAUUGUGGACUUGGCGAGUAGGCCCCUACUCGGCGAGUCCAUAGGUGUACUCGGCGAGUUCGAGCGUCAGAAAGAGGGGAUUUUGGGAUUUCUUGUUGUUUUUCUCAUGGAUACUUGCCUUAUCUGUUUUAGAUUAUUAAAAUCCGAUUUUAUACAUAUUUAUGAGUAUAUCCUUGAUUAAACAAAAGAUAAUUACCAAUUGAUUAGAUAAUAACUUCCUUAUAUGAUAAAGUUUUAUUAUUUGUAUUAAUUGGGUAACUUACUUUGCAAGAAAUUGAAAUUAGGUCAAAUAUAGAUAAUGAUAAAAUAAAUUGUUUAAUUUAUAUUAUUUGUUAUUUGAUCCUUGUGUUAUGAAAAGUUUCAAUUUUUCCCCUUUAGGUUUUAUAGUUUAAAUUUGAACUCAAAAUUUUAGUUUUGAAAUUUAAAUAGUUGAAACCCUAAUGUUUUGAAAAGGUUUCAAAACUUGCCCUCAAGUUUUGGAAUUUAAAUUUUGAUUAAAAGUUUAAUUUUGAUGUAUAUUUAAAUUCUAAACCCUAAUGUUUUGAAAUGUUUCAAAACUUGCCCUCAAGUUUUGGAAUUUAAAAGUUGAUUAAAAGUUUAAUUUAGGAAUGUUAAAUUCUAAAACCCUAGUAUUGUUUUGAAAAGUUCAAAUCACACCCUUAUGGUUUUAUUAAUUAAUUAAGGUGUAUAAUUAAAAGAGGUUUAAUAAAUCCAUAAAAGUUUUGGUUUACAAUUUAAUUGAAUUAAAAGUAUAAUUGUUAAAUUUGACCACCUAGUAUUUUAAAAGUGUAAAAUACACCCUAUACUAUAUAUAACAUUAAAAGUCUAACAUUAUAUAUAUGUAUGAGUAAAAGUCAGUCUUACCGUUAGUAGGCCUCAUUCACGAAGCUGGUCUAUAAGGGGUGUUUAAGGAAAUUGCCUAUAAAAUGGCGAUUGAAUGGGUAUCCACUCUUACCCACCGCACUCUUGACUAGUGGAGGGUCGUUAGCCGAACGGGUAGGAUAGGACGAAACCUUCCAUUAUAAGUAUAAUGAAUUAUUAAAGUAACUAAAUGUUUUCAUAAAAUUCCCAAUCUUAGUUACUUAGGCAAAAGUGAAUUGAUGCAAUUCCAUGAAAUUACACUUUGUGCCCUUGCGAAGACGUUAGUGGAGCGUGUGUGGUUUACCGGCACACUAAAUGGUUCUAAGCAAAGGUAGCAAAGGGUGACUCAAUGUUUGUCAUAGUUCGGUGGAGCGUGUGUGGUUUACCGGCACAUCGAAUAGGUGACUGUAACAUGUGAGGGCACCAUGUAAGUUUGCAUGGUUAUUCACACCCGCUUUGUGAUCCUCGGCAUCCCAGUCACAAACUAGAGGGGCAUAUCGAGAUUUAAACAUGCCAUUGAAAUGUUCAAUGAAUCUCAAAGGAUCUAGGAGUUUUCAUAGAUUUAAAACUUAAAUUUCUUUUUCGUUUUUCAUGGUGGAAAUUAGUGAAUCGUCAUUCACUUACCUUCAAAUAUUCUGCAACUAGAUUACGACAUCCCUUUUCUAGGUUGUAGCGUAUUGUGUUGGGUCCUAGCCUUAAUAUCUCAUUUGGGUGAUUUAUUAAGGACUCAAUCUAUCAACUAACUUGAAUUUAUUUUUUCUCCCGUUUUGUAGAUGUCAAAGUACGACAACUAUGGUCUUCCCAAAUCCCGUGGAACAAGCAUUCCACAUGAAGAUGAUAUUCCACGAUUCGAUCGAGGAACAAGAAAUCAUGCUUCACUUCCUCCACCUCCUCCAAUUAUUCUCCCUAACCCACAAGAUCGAAGAAUUGAAAGGUUCAAUGUCACUAAAGCCCUAUUGGAAAUGAAACAUGAAGAUGGUAAACCCGUGUGUGCCCACGUUCUAGGAAUGAAAUCACACAUCGAUAGGUUGAUAAUGUUGGGUGCGUCAUUCCCUGAUAAGUUGGCUGUGAACUGGGUUCUACAAUCACUUCCUGAAUCAUAUAAUGAGUUCAAAGGUAAGUAUUAUAUGAUGGAUCAUGACGAGAACCUCAUUGACCUAACUUACCUGCUCAUUGCUGCUGAAUCAGAAAUGAUUUGGCAAAGAAAUGGAGCAUAUUUGUUAGGAAAGUCAACCAACCAUGCUUCCGAGGACGUUCUAGGAGAAUCGACCUGUGUUUACUGCCAAGAGAAAGGGCGUUGGAUACAAGUCUGCCCUAAGAGCCUGAAGAGUCCAGAAGAUGGGAGAGUCAAAAAGUAUGGCUGUACUUUAGGUAAAAUCCACUAUCUAACUCCAUUAAGUUCCUAUUCAUUGAUUCUUAAUACAUAAUGUGAUAAGAUUGCAUUUGAAUGUUUUGCAGGAUCAGUGAAAAGAGAGGAAGAUUGAUGAAAGAGCAAGAUGAGUCUAAUCACGAAGAAAUGGAUCUCGAUCGCAUGGAUUCGAAGAUUAGAUUUGAUCUUAGAAAGUUAUGAUAGAGUUGUUAGGAAUAUUUGAUUACAUAGUUUUUCAGUUGAUUUUUCAUUUUAAGGACAAAUGUUUUCCGCUGCUUUUAUGAAUAAAAUAAAUUUUGAUUUGACUCAUUUAUUUAUUUAUUUAUUUCCUUGCAAUGAAAUCGUUAUGAAAAAUUGAUGUUCGCAUAAUUCUACAACAAAUGGAUGUGAUUCUUAAUAGUGGAAAUGUCAAGAAUUUACCAAAUAGGGAAAGUUUCUCAUCGUCCAAAUUUCAAGUGGACAGAAACUUGGAAUCAUGCAACUUGGUUACAUGAUGAAUGAGCAUUUUCAUAUUUGGAACUUAGACUAAUUCGUUGACAAAGUGUCAAGUGAAGGACUAGGAGAUCGAAUACACAAAGUUGUGUGUUGAUCAAGUCCACUGCAAGAGUAACAAAGAUAUUCGUCAUGAUUUACUAAAGGUUUAGUAAAUAUGAUUAUACUUAUAAGAUUAAGUGUAAUUCUGAAUUGAUUGAAAAGGUUUAAAUCAAUAGCACAACGAAUAAGAAGAAUCAAGUAGGCAGAAAGAUAAAAGUUUCUCUAUUCUAAGAAGAAGGGAGAGUACCUUUUAUACUUUAUGAUAUGUCUUAAUGAAUAAGAACCAUAUCUCAAUUGAUCCUCUAAGUGAAUCUUUGUGCAACUGUAUGUCUACGAAGAGGAAUCGAGAAUUGAAGAAAUGGUUAAAUCAAGAAGUCAAUCAUACUUCGUUCAAAAACAAAAUCUUAAAGUUAGGAUUGUGACAUUGAGUGACAAGUCUUAAGAAGGUUUACAAAACUCAUCAAAUGUAGAAUAUGGAAUAACUUUUCAUAUUCUUGCACAUUUGAAAUUGGAAAGUUGUGAUGUCUUGGAUAAGACAACGAUCAACUAGGACCAAAUUUUAUGAAGUGUUUUGUCUUGAUAAAAGCUACACUAACUCUUGAAUAUUUGUUUGUCAAUAAAUGUUUAUUGAUAAGAGAAUCUUAUAUGUCAAGGAGUCAGUGGGAGUCUUAAUGGUCUUGAAAAGGUUCAAGAACUUACCAAGAAUAAACCUUAUCGAUCAUCACUAGCACACGAGUUGAGGUUUACAACCUGUCGUGUUGACAUUAUCUUGUUUCUGUGCCGUUCCAAUUAAGUUAAUUGUGCAUGUGAGCCCUAUGAGUUCUCAUUUGAAUGCAUAAAAGGCAAAGACCUUAAUCAAUGAAAAGUACAUUGAUGGGAAAGGGUGAGUUGCUUAACUACUUCGAAGACAUGGUGGGCAACCGUGUUACGAUAAGGCAAGAGAUCAAGAUUGAAAAAGGUUCCGUCCAUACGAGUUUGAAUUUGUCAUAAACUUUGGUUUUAACAAAUUCACAUGGAUAGGGACACAUACACCAUUAAAAUCGAAGUGUCAUAAGAUUUUCUCCUUCGUGAAAACAACUGUGAGGAAAUGCUUUCACUAAGGAAGAUUUUAAGAAGAUAGUGAUUGUGAAAUUGUAUUCUCAAAUUCGAUUAUGGUUACGAUAUCCCUUUCCAUGAUUCGAAUUGUGAGAUUUGGCAAUUAGUCUGAAUUGUUUAAGACACACAUAUGAGCUAUCUAAGGCAAAGGUGUAUAAGUUUAAGAAGCCUUGAUAAAAGAUUAUCAAAGCAUUGGGUAUUAGAAAUAUGAACUUAAAGAAAUUCAAUAGGCAUUAUUUUUCUGAAAGUUAAGUUGUUUCGGAAUACAUGUCAAAGCUAGUGGGAGCAUAAGUGUUAUGUUUAUAAUAAUCAUCGUGAUAGUGGGAGCAUAAAUGUUAUGAUUGCAUGAUUAUUAAGGCAAGUAUUGCAUGUUAGAAAUAUUAAUUAUAGAAAACAAGAGUUAUACUUUGCAAAGUCGCAAUGGUUGUAAAGUUGUUUUGCUAUAAUUAAGGGAGAGAAUAUUAUGCUUCAUUUCAAAUCUAAAGGCUUAGGUUAUGGAAUGUUAAUAAAUUUAGUCAAUGAAACAUAGUGCGUUCUUAAAAUUCGAUUAUGAUUACGACAUUCCUCUUCAUAUUUCGAAUUGAGAGAACGUAGCACAUAAAAUAUUAUGGCAGAAGAUUGAUAAAGUAUCGAAUCUUUAUGUAAGACAUUAUGCAUCGUGUCCCAUACACUUCGGGUAUAAGAUCGAUUGCAAAUGCUAUAAUAUUUGACCAUUCUAAAACUUUCAAAAUGUCUAGUGCAUUUAGAGGGAAAAAGGACAAGAAUCGGUUUUGACUAAGAUAAUUAAACAACUAUCAAAGGACAAUCCAAAGUUCGCCGAGGAUUGGUCGCUUGUGAGUAGUUGGAAGUAUAGUAUUGGAUGGACCAUAUCGACAUUAUUAUGAAUAGAAAAGAUUCUAUUAAGAAUGAGUUGUCAUAUGGAAAAUAUGGAAACGUUUCCAUAUUGGGAAUUGGAUAUUGAGAAUCAAUGUCUAGAUUAGAAACUUUUAUGCAAAAGGAUGUUCAAAGGAAUGUACUUUGAGUGAGAGACAUCAUAUCUAAGGAAUUGUCUUGUAACAAUCUCCGAUAGAGGAAUUUGUAAUUUCAUUGGCAAUAGUCAUUGUGACUUUAGUGCAGUGACAUUACAAAAGGAUCAUUGCAUAAAAUGUUAGAAUCUAACAUAUUCUAUAAGUGGCAAGAAUUUGAUAUUCUUUCACUUAUGAAAAAGGAUUAGGAGUUGUGAAAUGAGUAUGAUUGGAAAUGUGUUCAUUUGAUCUAUUUCACAAAGUAAGAACCGUAGGUAAACAUUGUGUGCAUGCUAGGAGCAUGGGACA